AGUGAACGCUGGCGGUAGGCCUAACACAUGCAAGUCGAACGGCAGCACCGUAAGAGCUUGCUCUUACGGGUGGCGAGUGGCGGACGGGUGAGGUAUACAUCGUACUCUACUUUUUCGUGGGGGAUAACGUAGGGAAACUUACGAUAAUACCGCAUACCACCUACCGUUGAAAGCAGUGGAUCUUCGGACCUUGCGGGAUUGAAUGAGCCGAUGUCGGAGUAGCUAGUUGGCGGGCUAAUUGCCCACCAAGGCGACGAUCCGUAGCUGGUCUGAGAGGAUGAUCGGCCACACUGGAACUGAGACACGGUCCAGACUCCUACGGGAGGCAGCAGUGGGGAAUAUUGGACAGUGGGCGCAAGCCUGAUCCAGCCAUACCGCGUGGGUGAAGAAGGCCUUCGGGUUGUAAAGCCCUUUUGUUGGGAAAGAAAAGCAGCAGGUUAAUACCCCGCUGUUCUGACGGUACCCAAAGAAUAAGCACCGGCUAACUUCGUG
rnacentral:rRNA from 1 species